GGCGGGGGGGAUCGGUGGUUUAGUGCCUUGCACUGUCACCUCGCACCUCCGGAGUUGAGGGUUCGAAUCCCGCCUCCGCCC